CCUACGGGUGGCAGCAGUGGGGAAUAUUGCACAAUGGGGGAAACCCUGAUGCAGCGACGCCGCGUGAGUGAAGAAGCGUUUCGGCGCGUAAAGCUCUGUCAGCGGGGAAGAAACACGGUUCGCGAGAGCCGCGGACGGUACCCGACCAAGAAGCCCCGGCUAACUACGUGCCAGCAGCCGCGGUAAUACGUAGGGGGCAAGCGUUAUCCGGAUUCACUGGGUGUAAAGGGUGCGUAGGCGGAGUGUCAAGUCAGCGGUAAAAUUUCGGGGCUCAACCCCGUCGUGCCGUUGAAACUGACGCCCUUGAGUGAGUGAGAAGUAAGCGGAAUGCGUGGUGUAGCGGUGAAAUGCAUAGAUAUCACGCAGAACGCCGAUUGCGAAGGCAGCUUACCGGCGCUCAACUGACGCUGAGGCACGAAAGUGCGGGUAUCGAACAGGAUUAGAUACCCCUGUAGUC
rnacentral:rRNA from 1 species